rnacentral:rRNA from 1 species
UACGAAGGAUUCGAGCGUUAUCCGGAUUUAUUGGGUUUAAAGGGUUCGUAGGUGGAUUAAUAAGUCAGUGGUGAAAGCCCGGAGCUCAACUCCGGAACUGCCAUUGAUACUGUUAGUCUUGAGUACAGUUGAGGUGGGCGGAAUGUGUCAUGUAGCGGUGAAAUGCUUAGAUAUGACACAGAACACCGAUUGCGAAGGCAGCUCACUAAGCUGUAACUGACACUGAGGCACGAAAGCGUGGGGAGCAAACAGG